GUACUACUCCCUCCGUUCCGAAUUACCCGUCGCAGAAAUAGAUGUAUCUAGAACUAUAAGUUCUAGAUACAUCUGUUCUAGAUACAUCUAUUUCUGCGACGGGUAAUUCGGAACGGAGGGAGUAGUAC
rnacentral:pre_miRNA from 1 species